UACGAAGGGGGCUAGCGUUGCUCGGAAUUACUGGGCGUAAAGGGCGCGUAGGCGGACAGUUAAGUCAGAGGUGAAAUCCCAGGGCUCAACCCUGGAAUUGCCUUUGAUACUGGCUGUCUUGAGUAUGGGAGAGGUGAGUGGAACUCCGAGUGUAGAGGUGAAAUUCGUAGAUAUUCGGAGGAACACCAGUGGCGAAGGCGACUCACUGGCCCAUUACUGACGCUGAGGCGCGAAAGCGUGGGGAGCAAACAGG
rnacentral:rRNA from 1 species